UACGUAGGUGGCAAGCGUUGUUCGGAAUUAUUGGGCGUAAAGGGCGCGUAGGCGGCUUGUUAAGUCGGCUGUGAAAGCCCGGGGCUCAACCCCCGGAGGGUCAGCCGAUACUGGCAGGCUAGAGUACGGAAGAGGUAGCUGGAAUUCCCGGUGUAGCGGUGAAAUGCGCAGAUAUCAGGAGGAACACCGGUGGCGAAGGCGGGUCUCUGGGCCGAUACUGACGCUGAGGAGCGAAAGCGUGGGAGCGAACAGG
rnacentral:rRNA from 1 species